rnacentral:rRNA from 1 species
GUUGUAAGGUUAAGUUAGAAAGAGCGCAGGGUGGAUGCCUUGGCACUGAGA